rnacentral:rRNA from 1 species
UAGGAAUCUUGCGCAAUGGGCGAAAGCCUGACGCAGCAACGCCGCGUGGGGGAUGAAUGGCUUCGGCCCGUAAACCCCUGUCAUUUGCGAACAAAUUGCUUCACCUAAUACGUGAAUCAUUGAUUGUAGCGAAAGAGGACGGGACGGCUAACUCUGUGCCAGCAGCCGCGGUAAUACAGAGGUCCCAAGCGUUGUUCGGAUUCACUGGGCGUAAAGGGUGCGUAGGUGGUGAGGUAAGUUUGAUGUGAAAUCUCCGGGCUCAACCCGGAAAUGGCAUUGAAUACUAUCUCGCUAGAGGAGUGGAGGGGGGACUGGAAUACUUGGUGUAGCAGUGAAAUGCGUAGAUAUCAAGUGGAACACCGGUGGCGAAGGCGAGUCCCUGGACACUUCCUGACACUGAGGCACGAAAGCUAGGGGAGCAAA